rnacentral:rRNA from 1 species
GUUGUCCUACGGGACGCAGCAGUGGGGAAUAUUGCGCAAUGGGCGAAAGCCUGACGCAGCGACGCCGCGUGAGGGAUGAAGGUCUUCGGAUCGUAAACCUCUGUCAGCAGGGAAGAACGGUCACUGUGCUAAUCAGCAGUGAAUUGACGGUACCUGACUAAGAAGCCCCGGCUAACUACGUGCCAGCAGCCGCGGUAAUACGUAGGGGGCAAGCGUUAUCCGGAUUUACUGGGUGUAAAGGGAGCGUAGACGGCAGAGCAAGUCUGAAGUGAAAGCCCGCGGCCCAACUGCGGGACUGCUUUGGA